UCAUAACGGAGGAAAAGAAACCAACAGGGAUUGCCCUAGUAACGGCGAGUGAAGCGGCAACAGCUCAAAUUUGAAAUCUGGCUCCUUUGGGGUCCGAGUUGUAAUUUGCAGAGGGAGCUUUUGGCGUCGGUCGUGGUCUAAGUUCCUUGGAACAGGACGUCACAGAGGGUGAGAAUCCCGUACGUGGCCGCCGGCCUUCGCCUUGUAAAGCCCCUUCGACGAGUCGAGUUGUUUGGGAAUGCAGCUCUAAAUGGGAGGUAAAUUUCUUCUAAAGCUAAAUACCCGCCAGAGACCGAUAGCGCACAAGUAGAGUGAUCGAAAGAUGAAAAGCACUUUGGAAAGAGAGUGAAAAAGCACGUGAAAUUGUUGAAAGGGAAGCGCUUGCGGCCAGACGUGCCCGCGGUUGAUCAUCCAGGCUCCAGCCUGGUGCACUCCUCCGCGGGCAGGCCAGCAUCAGUUCGGGCGGUCGGAUAAAGGCCUCUAUCACGUACCACCCCUCGGGGUGGCCUUAUAGGGGAGGCGCAACACGGCCAGCCCGGACUGAGGUUCCGCGCAUCUGCUAGGAUGCUGGCGUAAUGGCAGCAAGCGGCCCGUCUUGAAACACGGACCAAGGAGUCUAACAUCUAUGCGAGUGUUUGGGUGUCAAGCCCGAGCGCGCAAUGAAAGUGAACGGAGGUGGGAACCCUUACCGGUGCACCAUCGACCGAUCCUGAUGUCUUCGGAUGGAUUUGAGUAAGAGCAUAGCUGUUGGGACCCGAAAGAUGGUGAACUAUGCCUGAAUAGGGUGAAGCCAGAGGAAACUCUGGUGGAGGCUCGCAGCGGUUCUGACGUGCAAAUCGAUCGUCAAAUUUGGGCAUA
rnacentral:rRNA from 1 species